AGCAUAAUAAUCAAUCCAUCACAUAAUCAACUAGCCUAAUCCCCAAACCAAUGGGGGAUUUUAUCCAAACAUGUUCACAAACAACAAACCUAAAUCAAAGAAAUACAUAAAUGAAAGAGAGAGUAAGAAGUGACAAAUCCUAUUAAUGAGCUUUCUCCAAUCUUCUCUCCUCUUCAAUGCAUUCAAUCUUGGUAAAAAGAUGUGGUAAUGGAGGCUAGGGUUUGGUGUGGAGGAAUUGGGGAAGAUGGAAAAUGGGUGUGUUGAAUGUUGGGGAUGAUGAAUAAUGUGAGGAAAAGGGGGAGAAAGGGGUUUAAGGGGUGAAAAACCCGACUGGGGCCCACUUGGGGAGGCUCCGCCCUUUUCCCGCGGUCCUGGCCCGCGCCCGCGGCCGGCAAACGUGGGGGAGAGUCAGGGGACCCGCGGUCCCGCCCCGCGGCCGCGGGUGGUGACCGCGGGUGUCUCCUGAGUCGGGGGCAGCUGACCCGCGGUCCCACCCCGCGGCCGCGGGUGGUGACCGCGGGGUACUGGGCGUAUUGCGCAGGCCGCUCGUUUUGCUCCGUUCUCCCUCGUCCGGACUCGGAUUUGGUCGCCGUUUGCGCUCACGGAUUCCUCUCGAGACGUACUU
rnacentral:lncRNA from 1 species